CCUACGGGAGGCAGCAGUAAGGAAUAUUGGUCAAUGGACGAAAGUCUGAACCAGCCAUGCCGCGUGAAGGAUUAAGGCCCUCUGGGUUGUAAACUUCUUUUAUCUGGGACGAAAAAAGGGUAUUCUUACUCACUUGACGGUACCAGAGGAAUAAGCACCGGCUAACUCCGUGCCAGCAGCCGCGGUAAUACGGAGGGUGCAAGCGUUAUCCGGAUUUACUGGGUUUAAAGGGUGCGUAGGUGGGCUUGUAAGUCAGUGGUGAAAUCUCCGGGCUUAACCCGGAAACUGCCAUUGAUACUAUAGGUCUUGAAUUAUCUGGAGGUAAGCGGAAUAUGUCAUGUAGCGGUGAAAUGCUUAGAUAUGACAUAGAACACCAAUUGCGAAGGCAGCUUACUACGGAUACAUUGACACUGAGGCACGAAAGCGUGGGGAUCAAACAGGAUUAGAUACCCUGGUAGUCCACGCCCUAAACGAUGGAUACUCGACAUCAGCGAUACACUGUUGGUGUCUGAGCGAAAGCAUUAAGUAUCCCACCUGGGAAGUACGAUCGCAAGAUUGAAACUCAAAAUGAAUUGACGG
rnacentral:rRNA from 1 species